AGUGAACGCUGGCGGCAGGCCUAACACAUGCAAGUCGAGCGGCAGCACAAGAGAGCUUGCUCUCUGGGUGGCGAGUGGCGGACGGGUGGGGAAUGCAUCUGAAUCUGCGCAGUUGUGGGGGAUAACCUCGGGAAACCGGGACUAAUACCGCAUACGACCUGCGGGUGAAAGCAGGGGAUCUUCGGAGCUUGCGCAGAUGGAUGAGCCGAUGCCGGAUUAGCUAGUUGGAGGGGUAAAGGCCCACCAAGGCGACGAUCCGUAGCUGGUCUGAGAGGAUGAUCAGCCACACUGGGACUGAGACACGGCCCAGACUCCUACGGGAGGCAGCAGUGGGGAAUAUUGGACAAUGGGCGAAAGCCUGAUCCAGCCAUGCCGCGUGUGUGAAGAAGGUCUUCGGGUUGUAAAGCACUUUUGUUGGGAAAGAAAAGCAGCCGGUUAAUACCCGGCUGUCAUGACGGUACCAAAAGAAUAAGCACCGGCUAACUUCGUG
rnacentral:rRNA from 1 species